UACGUAGGGGCCGAGCGUUGUCCGGAUUUAUUGGGCGUAAAGCGCGCGCAGGCGGCCUCGCGCGCCCGACGUGAAAGCCCCCGGCUUAACCGGGGAGGGUCGUUGGGGACGGCGGGGCUUGAGGGCGGGAGAGGUCGGUGGAAUUCCCGGUGUAGAGGUGAAAUUCGUAGAUAUCGGGAGGAACACCGGUGGCGAAGGCGGCGACCUGGGUCGAGACUGACGCUGAGGCGCGAAAGCGUGGGGAGCAAACAGG
rnacentral:rRNA from 1 species